UACGUAGGGGGCAAGCGUUGUCCGGAUUUAUUGGGCGUAAAGAGCGUGUAGGCGGUUAGGUAGGUCCGUUGUGAAAACUCGAGGCUCAACCUCGAGACGCCGAUGGAAACCAUUUGGCUAGAGUCCGGAAGAGGAGAGUGGAAUUCCUGGUGUAGCGGUGAAAUGCGCAGAUAUCAGGAGGAACACCGAUGGCGAAGGCAGGUCUCUGGGCCGAUACUGACGCUGAGGAGCGAAAGCGUGGGGAGCGAACAGG
rnacentral:rRNA from 1 species